rnacentral:lncRNA from 1 species
UUUCAGGUGCUGAGUUCUGCAUUUCGUGACACCAGUUAUGGAAUGGGUGACCUUAAUUGUCUACUGCAUGUUUCCUGGGCCGGAAUGCCAAUUGGAUAACAGGAGGGUCAUGGUUGCCCUGUGGACAGGUUGAUGGAAAGUUGUAAGCCAGGACUUGGCUGACGCAGAAGAAGACAUAGACUGCAAAAACUGAUUGAUCAUGAAAAGUAAACUUGCAAAGGACAGCACGCAUGCACUCUGAAGCCUACAGGAGAGGUGCUCACACUUACACCUCCCAUGGCUUUAUUGCCAUGCUUUAUUCAUUCAUUUCCUUAGUAUGCCCCAAUAGAUGAUGGUGGACACAAGCAUUUGAUGAUAGUUUCUUAACCAAUUUCUACCUCUUAAACAACUCCUGAAUAAUAAAAAACAAUAAAUUUUAUCUAUAGAGAUGAAAAGAUCUUAGAAAUUAUUUGAGGUAGUUCACCUUAAUGAGAAUGAGAAGGAAAAUAAGUUGCCCAAGGUCAUAGAGAUUUUAAGGCACAUAGAGUCUGUUUUAAGGUACGUAGAGUCUGUGUAUGCACAUUAUCUCAUUUAGUCUUCAUUGUGUCUCUGUGAGGUAGUCGUGGAAACUGGCAUAAUUGCUAUUUUAUUGAGGAGAAUGUUGAGUUUCAGAAAUUUUAAUACCCAACAUAAGAAGAAAAGUGAGGUAUAAAAUCAGGUCUUGAACUCAGAGCUUUAACUCCUCCUGCAAUAUUCUGUGGCCUCUGAGUUGUGCCCAGAAUGAGAAUUUUAAUAAACCCUGGCCUGUAUUAGCUUCCUACUAUUUUUACUAAACCAUUACUUUUUUUCCUUGAAUAAAACUUGGUAUGUUAGCUCACAAAAUCUGUUGUUCUAUUAUUCCAUGUUCUGUGUAAUUCUUACCAACAAACUUAUUAUUAUCAAUAAAGCAAACCAAAAAAA